ensembl:lncRNA
UAAUUCAUCGUUCAGAUCUACUUUAUCUUAUUUUAUUUCAUGAUCAUAAUACCCAACAGUAUAUAGUUUGUUUUCGUCGUCCUCCAUCGCUCGAUUCAACAAUACAUUUUGGCACUUUUUACUCCCGGAUCAGACCGCAGAAAAAGCCUUGGACUUUCCUAUCGCCAACAUGUCUCUGUACUCGGAUAUCUCAGGCACGGAGACUGGGAAAUGCACAGACUGCACCAAACUGCGAGAGACGGUGGCUUUAAUGGAAACGAGACUAGCAGCAUUAGAAAAAUGCUGUAUCUGAGCUCACUCAGAUACAGCAAGAUGAUCAAAGCUACACUGUAUCCUUCCCGAAGCUGGACAAGAGAGAGACAGUUCCAGCUGCGUUUCACUGGCACAGAGUUGGCGCUAAGCCAAAACAACAUACCAAAGUGAAUCAACAAGAUCACUCAACGCCAAAUGCUAAACUACCCAAAGCUAAAGUUAUCAGCCGGAUUAGCCCGUCACUGAAAUUAACCCUGCCACUGAAGAACCGGUUCCUGCCACUUCAAGAGUCCACGUACGAGCCUGCCACCCCAUGCACCCCUGAGCCCCGAGAUGCAUCCGGACGGACAGUGCGGACAGAGACGGAACAUGAACCAGUCGCCAUGGAGGCGAGCCGCGCAUGCCUCGGCCACCUGUGCACCCCUGACCCCUGAAAUGUGUCCGGACAGACGGUACGGACAGACAUGGAACAACCAGCCGCCACGGAGGCGGGCUGCCACCGUCCAACAAGGGCCCAUCUCAGAUGAAGCAAAUGAACCAGAAAUCCUGAUUAUAGGAGACUCAACCAUCAAGGAUAUAACCGCCAAUUAUGAUGCAGCGCGUAUGAACCAGAAAAAAGCCCAAACCAGGAGCACCCUGACAUCAGAUGAUGAAGGGGGUAAAAGAAGGAGAAUGUAAGCACUGUGCAGUAAUCUAUACUAUGAAAACCAUCAGCUACACAAAACAAUGCAUGCUUAUUGAGUGAUUUAUUUUCUAAUGCAGCCCUUCCUCAAAGCUGAAAGAAACUGUGCCUGCAGAUGAGGGGGAGAAGCAUACAAGGUCUGAUUACAGAUGGCCAUGCAUUAUCACUCACAUGAAGACAUUUUGUGAUUGGCAAGUUUGCAGUCUUACAAAACUGUUGUUGUUCAUACUCUUGUACUGUUCCAAUGUAUAGGGCUAAGAAAAAAGAAAAAAAAGGAGUCCUCCACAAGCCCCUGCUUUCCCCACCUGCUUUUAGAUCAUCACAGCAGGACAUACAUAAAGGUAUAACACAUCAUUCCAAAUCUGAAUUCUGCUAUUCUACUCACUAUCUUUUUUGAAUGUCUCGAAUCUGGGAAAUUUGAAUGUAAUGAACUUCAAUACACUGACUACUCUGAUUAUAAAUAUACAUCUUCUUGCCUACAGUUGCUGCCCACACAUCAGCUGCUCUUGAACAGGCCUCUGCCCAGAUCUCUGGCAACAUUCAAAGUCAAUUCGGUACACAAACAUCUGGCCUUACACAGCAAUACUGAAAAUCUGUUUAAACUUAAGUCUGUUAAUUUUAGCAAAGGGUCUUACUCUUGACAUGACAGUCAUGAUGUUUUUCUGUCCUGUAGAACGGGAUCAUGCACUCCUGCGUGCUGUGGAGGAGUUGAAGGCCUUGGUGAGGCAGAACAACCUCCUCCUCCAGGCCCUUACUAGGCAAAAAACGACAGCAGCAGCAGCAGCAGCAGACACUCUAUCUGAGGAAUUUAAGUUCCCAAUGAACUGCGAGGAAGACCUUCAAAGGGUGGAGGAUCUUCUGAGGGAGAAAUCCCAGGAAAAGGCCCUGGUAUAGUCAUGACUUCUAUAAUACUGAUAUAUUUCAGUUCUUUGCUACAAUGCAUCAACAAAGAUCAAAGUGCAUGAAAGUCCUUGUGCACAACCCUUCAGCUUUCCAGGUGCAGGUGUUAGGCAGGAAAACGUGAUCAAAUAUGAAAAGUUCAUUAAACACCGCACACUGGAUACUGUUCUUUUUUCUCUUUAUUUUUAGGAGCGAACAACGCGUUUCGCCCAAUGCGUUUUCAGGUUCGAACCUGAAGACACAUUGGGCGAAACGCCUUUGAGAAAAAAGAACAGUAUCCAGUGUGCGGUGUUUAAUGAACUUUUCGCAUUACCAAAGAUGUUCAUUUUGAACGGUAUGCUGACUAUAAGCCAUAAUAAGUUAUUCUAAAACAUUACUUUCCAUUCUUACCUGCAGGCAGCACACCUUAGUGCGCUUGGGGGCUGCAAUCCUGGCGACGCGGUUCGAAGAAUCCUUCGCCACAUCCUCACCAACCACUUCGUGCUGAAAUUCAACUGGCUUGGCAGAGGAGGGAAGAAGCUAGCUUUUGCCUCCUACAAGGUGUGCAAUGUAGUAAGAGGUAUGUAAACAAAUCACUCAUUGAGCUAUGAAUUAUGAAAUGGAUUCAUUUCUUUUGAAUAACCAUGGAGUGUACUGCAUGCAUCGUCAUUAAACACUUGUAAUGCACUUUGUACCAUUGUAUUAUUGGCCAGGACAUGAAAAACGGAUUACUAAUCUCAAAGGAUCUUUCCUCCUCAAUAAAUCAAUGUUAAAUAAACUAAAUAAAUACACUUUCUCUGUUUAGGUGCAUCGGCUAGCCAGAACAUUUCGGCCAGCGACUGCGAGGCAGUUAUUAAAAACUGGCUGAAGUGCAGCGGUGACCGGAGUGGAGGAAGAAAGAGGAGAGAAAGCAGAGUGCAUGAAGGUAUGCAUGAACAGCAAACCAUCAAAUACUGGAAAUGAGACUUACUUGCUCUUUCUCUUGAAGCGUUUGAGGGGCAAGAGGGAUGUGCUGAACCUUUUACAGUUUCAUGGAGCUUAACCUAACAUGGAAUUUAAAAGUUAUUCUUCAAGGUGUUUGAGAAAUUGAAAAAAGAACCUUGAAGUUAUUCUUCAAGGUGUUUGAGAAAUUGGCACAAUAUCCUAUACACCCGUUUUUUACAUUUCCCACUUACAAUUGGUAACUUUAAUCGGAGUUCUUGAAGGGGUAGUUCGGAAUUUUGGACAUAGGGCCUGAUUCCGAAGUGAGCAUUGGUAUUCUAUAUCACUGGAGACAGUUUAACACAUUUCAUUCAGUCCUUCUAGUUGCAGAGUUCGCUCGUGCUAGGCUAGCGCAAGUCAACGGGAAAUGCUAGCCUGCUAUUAAAAACAGUCUUACCCACUCCACAGUACACCCGAGGUAAAUCAAUUAUAACAACAGACUAUACAUCUAAAUGUCUGUUUAUAGAAUAAUGUUAGAAAUAAAACCAACCUUGCAUUGCAUUGCAUUUUGAGGGAAUUGCGGGGUCCCAGCAGCAGUGUUUAUAUUCCUGUACGUAGGCUACGGCAGCGGCGGACUGAUACCUAGGUUACCUGCCGCUGUCAUUGCUACAAACGCAGAGUACAGUGAACGAAGGAAUUCUACAAGAGUAUUAAAUUAACAAGAUAUGGCCACGUUUGGAGGAGUUAGCGAUGCAUCUGCUUUUGAAGACGAUUAUGAGGAAUUUGUUGUAUCCAACGAACCGUACAUGUACGAGCCGGUGUUUUGAUGUCAAAGCCAGCAGCAACAAGCCACAGUUGAGUCCUUUAUGGAUCUCGCACUGGAAAUUGGUGGAAACUUUGUGGUGCCCAUCUGUACCGUUUAUUUCUACAAUUUCUAAAAGCACACUGAACCAUCAUGUUGCCUAGUCGUUCAAUUGCGCUUCUGUCCCACGCUUCUCUGUUUACGUUCUUCUGUCGUGAUUCGGUUACAAACCUAACCAGCGCAUAGUAGAAUUCCGCUUCUGCUGAGAAAGUAGUCCCUCGAUGAUUCAUGCGAUGCAUGGUUAGUUUUAUUUCUAACAUUAUUCUAUCAACACAGACAUUUCAAUCUAUAGUCUGGCGUUAUAAUUGAUUUACCUCGGGUGUACUGUGGAGUGGGUAAGACUGUUUUUAAUAGCAGGCUAGCAUUGCCCGUUGACUUGCGCUAGCCUAGCACGAGCGAACUCUGCAACUAAAAGGACUGAAUGAAAUGUGUUGAAAACUGUCUCCAGUGAUAUAGAAUACCAAUGCUCACUUCGGAAUCAGGCCCUAUGUCCAAAAUUCCGAACUACCCCUUUAAAAUCGGUAAGUAAUGUUUGGAUUUCACCAUAAAAUGUAGAAAGCAUGUUUUCCCGCUAUCGCCAAAAGCAUGGUUGCAAAAUAGCAUAACUAGGCUACUGUACGACGUCGGUCUCAGGGAUGUUAUUUUCCCCUCAAACUUGCCUUCUUUGCUCAACACUAUUUCUUUAAUUUUAGAACAAUGAUGAUAGCG